rnacentral:rRNA from 1 species
CGCUGCUCGCCACACAUGUUUCCCGUCCCUGCAUCAGUUGUGCUCGACUACUGAGCGCGAAUGAUCCGUAAGGAACAACUUCUGGUUGUUAACGUUACUAGAUAGGGGUAGUACUACUUUAAAGCGUUCUAAUGGGUCCGGACAGCCGGUUCCGAUAUAUGAGCAAAUUAUGUAGUCACAUCGCGCGCACGCCGGGUCUUGCAGAUUCCCGUAGUGUCUGGACAAUAACGGAGUUUGAAGGCAGCGGAUUUGCCGCUAUCAGGGAGAUUCUUCGAUCGACGCCUCCCUACCGAGGCGUAUCGAUCAAUCGUCCGACUCCAGAGCAAGCAAUUGCCUUAAUUGGUCUGUUUAGCGAGGUGGUUGAUUCUUGUCGGUACGUGGUGGUGGGUAUCUUAGUUCUUUCUCGAGAGUUAGACAGUUAGGAACGAUACAGACCUGGACCAUUCAAAGGGGCACAACUCAGUUUAAUUCGGCGUCCGAGGUGCGGACCACCACGGGAAGGCAGUUAAGGAAAUUCAAAGUCGGAACGCUGGUAUGAGGGGGGCCUUGGGUUUCUGAAACUAAAGAGUAUUCCACGGCCGCCUCAGGAUAUUCGUUGUAGGCGGCUAGGGAACAGCCGUAGCAAAUACCAACUCUGAUCCUGCCAUAGACUAGCAGAAGGUCGGGGGUUGAAAG